rnacentral:rRNA from 1 species
GACGAACGCUGGCGGCGUGCUUAACACAUGCAAGUCGAGCGGAAAGGCCCUUCGGGGUACUCGAGCGGCGAACGGGUGGGUAACACGUGAGUAACACGCCCCAGACUUUGGGCUAACUCUCGGAUAAGGGCGCUAAUACCGGACAAGUAACAGAUUCGCAUGGGGUCUGUGUGGAAAGGUUUUCGGGAGGGUAUGGGCGUGCGGGCUAUGAGCUCGUUGGUGGGGAGUUGGUUGGCCAAGGCGAGGACGGGUAGCCGGCCAGCGAGGGCGAGAGGCCACACCGGGACUGAGACACGGCGCAGACGCGUACAGGAGGCAACAGUGGGGAAUAUUGCACAGUGGGCGGGAGCCGGAUGCAACGGCGCCGUGUGGGUUAUGACGGUCUUCGGGUUGUAAACCUCUUUCGGCUGGUACGUAGCGGAAUUGACGGUACCUGCAGAAGAAGCGCCGGCUAACUACGUG